rnacentral:tRNA from 1 species
GCCCAAGUGAUGAAAUUGGUAUACAUAGGGGACUCAAAAUCCCCCGGUGUGAGCCGUGUGGGUUCAAUUCCCACCUUGGGCACCA